rnacentral:rRNA from 1 species
GACGAACGCUGGCGGCGUGCCUAAUACAUGCAAGUUGAGCGAUGAAGAUUGGUGCUUGCCCCAAUUUGAAGAGCAGCGAACGGGUGAGUAACGCGUGGGGAAUCUGCCUUUGAGCGGGGGACAACAUUUGGAAACGAAUGCUAAUACCGCAUAACAACUUUAAACAUAAGUUUUAAGUUUGAAAGAUGCAAUUGCAUCACUCAAAGAUGAUCCCGCGUUGUAUUAGCUAGUUGGUGAGGUAAAGGCUCACCAAGGCGAUGAUACAUAGCCGACCUGAGAGGGUGAUCGGCCACAGUGGGACUGAGACACGGCCCAAACUACUACGGGAGGCAGCAGUAGGGAAUCUUCGGCAAUGGACGAAAGUCUGACCGAGCAACGCCGCGUGAGUGAAGAAGGUUUUCGGAUCGUAAAAAUCGGUUGGUAGAGAAGAACGUUGGUGAGAGUGGAAAGCUCAUCAAGUGACGGUAACUACCCAGAAAGGGACGGCUAACUACGUG